rnacentral:rRNA from 1 species
CGCAUCUGUGCAUGCAGCAUAUCAAUAAGCGGAGGAAAAGAAACUAACAAGGAUUCCCUCAGUAACGGCGAGUGAAGCGGGAAGAGCUCAAAUUUGAAAUCUUGAAAGGUCACCUUUCACGAAUUGUAGUUUAAAGAAGUGUUUUCUGUUACGAUCGUAAUAUAAGUUCUUUGGAAUAGGACAUCACAGAGGGUGAGAAUCCCGUCUAUGAUUGCGAUUUGUAGCUUUGUGAUACACUUUCAAAGAGUCGGGUUGUUUGGGAAUGCAGCCCAAAACGGGAGGUAAAUUUCUUCUAAGGCUAAAUAUUGGCGAGAGACCGAUAGCGAACAAGUACCGUGAGGGAAAGAUGAAAAGAACUUUGAAAAGAGAGUUAAAUAGUACGUGAAAUUGUCAAAAGGGAAGCGUUUAACACCAGUGUUGUUUUCUCGAAAAUCAAUUAAAAAUGGCUCGAUUUUGUAUUGCUUGAGACCUUAAAAGCUCACUGUACAUUUUUCGUGUCUUUUUUAAUGCACUUUUCGUUUAACAAGUCAACAUCAGUUUCUUUUGUUGUAAAAGGGUCAUUGGAAGGUGGCUUUCUUUUCGGAGAAAGUGUUUAUAGCCUUUGGCCUCUGCAAUCGGAGAGACUGAGGUCUGCAGCGUAGACUCUUCGGGGUUAGAUACAUUUGUGCUAAGUUAUAGCUUUUUAUAGACAACUUGUUGACUAUAAUUAGUCUUGUAGCUUAGCUCGCUUAUGCUAUUUUACCUACGCUUAGGAUGUUGAAGUCAUCGUAUCGCGC